rnacentral:ncRNA from 1 species
AGUGAACGUAUCAUUGAAGUAUCCUCAAGAAAAAGACUAUUCAUAAUGGCAUAGUACUCUAUAGUCAUUAAACAAACAUCAAAUCGCAUAGCAAAGAGUCAAAAAAAUAGAGAGCUUUGCGAGACCUACCAAGGGUGAAGAGAUACCAUCCAAGGAGCUGAAGAGAAAUCUCACUUUAGACGCCUGGGGAACUCGGACUAAAUUAAAAAA